AGUGAACGCUGGCGGUAGGCCUAACACAUGCCAGUCGAACGGCAGCACAGUAAGAGCUUGCUCUUACGGGUGGCGAGUGGCGGACGGGUGAGGAAUACAUCGGAAUCUACUUUUUCGUGGGGGAUAACGUAGGGAAACUUACGCUAAUACCGCAUACGACCUACGGGUGAAAGCAUGGGAUCUUCGGACCUUGCGCGAUUGAAUGAGCCGAUGUCGGAUUAGCUAGUUGGCGGGGUAAAGGCCCACCAAGGCGACGAUCCGUAGCUGGUCUGAGAGGAUGAUCAGCCACACUGGAACUGAGACACGGUCCAGACUCCUACGGGAGGCAGCAGUGGGGAAUAUUGGACAAUGGGCGCAAGCCUGAUCCAGCCAUACCGCGUGGGUGAAGAAGGCCUUCGGGUUGUAAAGCCCUUUUGUUGGGAAAGAAAAGCAGCAGGUUAAUACCCCGCUGUUCUGACGGUACCCAAAGAAUAAGCACCGGCUAACUUCGUG
rnacentral:rRNA from 1 species